CAAAACUUUCAACAACGGAUCUCUUGGUUCUGGCAUCGAUGAAGAACGCAGCGAAAUGCGAUAAGUAAUGUGAAUUGCAGAAUUCAGUGAAUCAUCGAAUCUUUGAACGCACAUUGCGCCCCCUGGUAUUCCGGGGGGCAUGCCUGUUCGAGCGUCAUUA
rnacentral:rRNA from 1 species